UACAGAGGGGGGCAAGCGUUGUUCGGAAUUACUGGGCGUAAAGGGCGCGUAGGCGGCCCGCUAAGUCGAACGUGAAAUCCCCCGGGCUCAACCCGGGGAACUGCGUCCGAUACUGGAAGGCUUGAAUCCGGGAGAGGGAUGCGGAAUUCCAGGUGUAGCGGUGAAAUGCGUAGAUAUCUGGAGGAACACCGGUGGCGAAGGCGGCAUCCUGGACCGGCAUUGACGCUGAGGCGCGAAAGCCAGGGGAGCAAACGGGG
rnacentral:rRNA from 1 species